rnacentral:rRNA from 1 species
AUUGAACGCUGGCGGCAGGCCUAACACAUGCAAGUCGAGCGGUAGAGAGGUGCUUGCACCUCUUGAGAGCGGCGGACGGGUGAGUAAUGCCUAGGAAUCUGCCUGGUAGUGGGGGAUAACGCUCGGAAACGGACGCUAAUACCGCAUACGUCCUACGGGAGAAAGCAGGGGACCUUCGGGCCUUGCGCUAUCAGAUGAGCCCAGGUCGGAUUAGCUCUUUGGUGAGGUAAUGGAUCACCAAGGCGACGAUCCGUAACUGGUCUGAGAGGAUGAUCAGUCACACUGGAACUGAGACACGGUCCAGACUCCUACGGGAGGCAGCAGUGGGGAAUAUUGGACAAUGGGCGAAAGCCUGAUCCAGCCAUGCCGCGUGUGUGAAGAAGGUCUUCGGAUUGUAAAGCACUUUAAGUUGGGAGGAAGGGUCGUUACCUAAUACGUGACGAUUUUGACGUUACCGACAGAAUAAGCACCGGCUAACUCUGUGCCAGCCGCCGCGGUAAAAC